UGGAACGAUCGCUGGCUGCUGCCAACCUGAAAUUUGCUGUUCGUUCAUCACGCAGAAAGGCGGGUAAAGUUGUGUUCAGCACAGUAAACGGCGGUGUUCCAAUUCAUUUGGACCUUGUGCCCUUCCGAGUGCUUGGGGAUGCAACAAAACAGUGCAUCUUCGGAGAAGAGUACUACAAAAAGUCUGAUGCACAGCACAAAAAAGACACAACUGCAGACUGGCAAGCCAUCAAAAAGAAAAGGCUGCAGCUGCAGGGAACUAAAAAGAAAGGAUGUCGAGCCGUAAUGAACUUCAAGUACAUUGAACUGUAUCCCAAAAGCAAGGUAGGUUAUAAAUGUGCUGACUUUUU